UGAAAUCAAAAGUGAAAAGUCCCAGACUUUCAGAGAACGCCCUGCAGGCAGGGGAGCAGGACGCAGGAUGAAGAUUCCCAAGAUUCCCAUGGCUGCCGGACAUGCAAUGGUGGUUGGUGGAGUCGCAGCUUGCGCUGUGCUGCUCCUGGCCUAUAUCGCCAUUAAACACUGGAAAUCAGCGUCCCCCAAACGAGAGGACAUUGAGUACCACAGGAGAGACGAGUGGACGUCAAUGAGCGGGCAAGAGCUAGUUCGUUUGCGCAGCGUUCCAAUGAGGUCUUA